GCCUGGGUGGCUCAGUCAGUUAAGCAUCUGACUUCAGCUCAAGUCGUGAUCUCUCAAUUUGUGGGUUCAAGCCCCACAUUGGGCA
rnacentral:tRNA from 1 species